rnacentral:lncRNA from 1 species
ACUAAACAAGUGAGUACAGAGUCAAGAAAUGCUCUUGAUGUUAAGAUUUGGAACAUCUCCAUAUCCAUCUGGAAAAUUUUCAGCAGUCACUGGCAGGUAUUGUCAAAAGAUGCCAAGAAUCCAGAAGAAGACAAUGGAAACAUUUUGGGACUAAAGAGAAGUGGAAAGACCUUGAGAAGGGAUUGCCACAGCCUCUCUGAAACCUGCACUCAGCCUUGGGAAUGCAGUAGUUUUGCCAUCUUCCCGCUGAGGGACCCCCACAAAAACGAUGCUCUGAAAUGUCACCAGCGAGGAGCUGGCUCGGCUCCUUAUCACACUGCUGCAGCUGUGCCCAAGUCGCUUAGAGGAGCAGUUGGCUUGUUUCUUUUAACCACAACUUUCAAGAAAGUGAGCUCCAGUGCCUGGAAAACCCAGAUAUGUCAAAUCACUGUGCAGAAGUCUGUUUUGCUCCACCCGAAGCCAUUUUUCAUUCUCUCUGUUCUUCUGUGACGCUUUCGAUCUCUGCAGCAGAGAGAUUGUGGGCAGGAGCCUGUGACGUGGGCCAUAGUCGUUUCUAUGCCGGCUUGAACUGUACGGCUCAGCGUUGAGACAGGUGGUUACAAGACCUCUGGCUGGAAGUUCACCUCUCUGGGGUUUACCACUUCUUAAGGAACUGCCCUCUACAGCGACUUUUCCUACCCCUCCAGGCCAAGCUCAAGCUCUGCCCCGACUCUGUGGAGUGUCCUCGUCCCACCCAACACGACCAAUUGCCCACUGUUUUCGUUAACGCUCUUUGUUCUGCUUGGUCUUGGGUUUUUCACUUGACCGUCUCCGAGUCUGAACAGUGAACUCCUUGAGGGCAGGGUCAUUGCCUUACUCCUUUCUUUGCUGAGUGCAUAGAUCCCUGCUUGAUACUUAGCCAGCGUCUAAUAGAUGACUAUCAAAUUGAACGGUUGUAUGGCCUGCCUGCCUUUGUGCCUUGCAUAGAUUAGUAUUGUUCCAGGACUUUCUACUAUCUAUCUCAGAGGUUCCUUAUUAGGCACUUACAUUGAGGUCAUUCAGUCCAUUGGUCCUAAGGAGUUUCCUUGACCUCUGUUUUCUUUUUUUCUCCAAAUACCAAGGCAGUCUAGCAGAGUGGAACACAAGCGAGGUUGGGAGCAGACACACCUGGUUUAGAAUAUUGAUUCUGCUGUUUACUACUGCUGUGACCCUGGGCAAGUGCUUCACCAUCUCUGAGUCCCAUUUCUCAGCUGCAAAAUGGGGCAAUGACAUCCAGAGCUGCUGAGAGCCCAUAUAGCACCUUUCCGGGAAUUAGAGAAGGAACUCAGCAAGCUGAGUGUGGCCGGAUUUCAGCCUUUGCUUGCUACAGCCUGCAAACCACUGAAGGCAGCUUUUAAAGGACGCCCCUCACAGGGUGCAUGAAGGCUAAAUGAGGUCAUGUAUGUAAAGAGUGAGCAGAAACAGGAAGGAAAGUGUUGUAUUUUUUGGUGAACUGAAUGAAAAUACCACCACGUUACUUACACUGCACGUCUUCUUUCCCUCCCACCACCUCUAGCCCCACCAACCCCAAGCCCUCUAUUGCUCCCAUACCAUGGGAAAAUCCCAGGCAACACUGAAUUGCCAGCAAAGUUUGUCACUGAAGCCCAAGUCUCCUCUCUGGGUAUUGCGUCCCCACUCCUACUCCCACUUCAGGAGCCCUGUGCCCUCAUUCUCUCUCCUUUCCCUAAAGAAAUUCUGUUUCUGGAAGGAAACAAGCUGAUCUCAGUAGUUUGAGCUUUUUCUUUUUUCUAAUUGUGGACUGACAGGCUUUCUCUGCUGCUGGAGAUAGCUCUGGCAUUCCUAAAUAGAUGUAGGAGCUGCUUGGGAAAUGUGGGCCCAUUUCUGGGUCACACAGCAGUUGUUUCUUCUGAGACACAAGGCAGAUCUGAAGAUGGACCCUAGGAGGGCUAGUACCUUACUGGCUGAAACAGAUUCCCCCACAUCCCCCUAUAGAUACAAGACAUUGUGAUAAUCAAGUCUUUGCCAGACCCUAAAAUAAGCCAAUAAACUUUAAACCAAGCAAUGAACA